rnacentral:pre_miRNA from 1 species
AAAGUACUCCCUCCGUCCCAAAAUUCUUGCUUAGAUUUGUCUAGAUACGGAUGUAUCAAGUCACAUUUUAGUAUUAGAUACAUCCGUAUCUAGACAAAUCUAAGACAAGAACUUUGGGACAGAGGGAGUAGUUG